GAUGAACGCUGGCGGCGUGCCUAAUACAUGCAAGUCGAGCGAACAGACGAGGAGCUUGCUCCUCUGACGUUAGCGGCGGACGGGUGAGUAACACGUGGAUAACCUACCUAUAAGACUGGGAUAACUUCGGGAAACCGGAGCUAAUGCCGGAUAAUAUAUUGAACCGCAUGGUUCAAUAGUGAAAGACGGUUUUGCUGUCACUUAUAGAUGGAUCCGCGCCGCAUUAGCUAGUUGGUAAGGUAACGGCUUACCAAGGCGACGAUGCGUAGCCGACCUGAGAGGGUGAUCGGCCACACUGGAACUGAGACACGGUCCAGACUCCUACGGGAGGCAGCAGUAGGGAAUCUUCCGCAAUGGGCGAAAGCCUGACGGAGCAACGCCGCGUGAGUGAUGAAGGUCUUCGGAUCGUAAAACUCUGUUAUUAGGGAAGAACAAAUGUGUAAGUAACUAUGCACGUCUUGACGGUACCUAAUCAGAAAGCCACGGCUAACUACGU
rnacentral:rRNA from 1 species